CGCCCGAGCGGCUCCGGGCCCCGCGCCCCGCGCCCGCCACGGCCGCCGGGGGCAGACUGCCUGCAAGCGAUGGCCAUGCUCCUGGCCGCACAUCCUGGGUCCUGAGGUUGCAGAUGUGGAUGACUGUACACAGGGUGAAGAGCAAGCGGUUUUUCUCCUUCCUUGCUGGAUACUGAUUGGUUUAAAACUGCUGGCAAAAGAUGCAUGAUAAUCCCUCCUCCACGGGAAGAACACUGUUCUGGCUGCACUUCCAGCGAUGCCACCAAUGCUCAUGGCUCCCACCAGCUCUGCCCAGAAGUGCCUCUCAGAGGCAGGAAUCGAAGAAGUUUGUCAAGCUGAUGCAUGGGUUUGCUAGAAUUGGCCUUAGAAUUAAAAUUUCACAUAUAAGAUCACAUAUAUGCCCAGCCGGCGUGGCUCAGUGGUUGAGCAUCGACCUAUGAACCUGGAGGUCAUAUUUCAGUUCCUGAUCAGGGCACGUGCCUAGGUUGUGGGCUUGAUCCCCAGUUGGGGGCAUGCAGGAGGCAGCUGAUCAAUGAUUCUCUCUCAUCAUUGAUGUUUCUAUCUCCCUCUCCCUCUCCCUUCCUCUCUGAAAUCAAUA